UACGUAGGGGGCAAGCGUUGUCCGGAUUUAUUGGGCGUAAAGAGCGUGUAGGCGGCCGUACAGGUCAGCUGUGAAAACUCGAGGCUCAACCUCGAGACGUCGGUUGAAACCGUACGGCUAGAGUCCGGAAGAGGAGAGUGGAAUUCCCGGUGUAGCGGUGAAAUGCGCAGAUAUCGGGAAGAACACCAAUGGCGAAGGCAGUUCUCUGGGACGGUACUGACGCUGAGACGCGAAAGCGUGGGGAGCGAACAGG
rnacentral:rRNA from 1 species